AUGCUGUGCCUCAAGUGAUCCUCCCACCUAAGUCUCCUAAAGUGCUGGGAUUACAGGUGUGAACCACCACGCCCAUUCUAAGUUUCUCAUAAGGGAAUAAUUAGUUACUUGUGUCUGUGUUUUUUGGUUUCAUAAUUUUAAAUCCGAGUGUUUCCCCUUUGCAAGAAUUCCCCAAAUGACGUGAAAACAUUUUAAAGCAUACCUGGUUAUCCCCAGGCUCCCUUGAUGUCCGUCAGAUGAGUGUGUUUUGCUGCCCUCUGCUGCUCAUGGAUGGUACAGCAGUGACUGAACAACCCAUUCCCGGGUCUGCCCCUUGGUACUGCCUGAACGAGUUGGAGAAGCCUGGGAAGAAGACAAGAUUAUUAGGAACCAAUCAUUCUCUCCUAAAGCAAACCACCUACUCCAACGGGCCCAACAGCCUGUGCUCCACCCUCACCCCAGAAUUAAAAUGAAAAAUGCUGCUUUUGCUAAGACAUGAGUGAAAUAAUCUUGGAUUUUAAUUUGAAUGGUUUGUGUUGGUAGAAGAUGAAUGCUAUGAGCCAGCCCGCAGCUCGCCUCCCGAGAGCACAGUCCCUCAGGACAGACAAAGCUGACCUCUGUCCUGUCCGUACACAUAUACACACAGGAUGACUUUGGAUGAAUAAAUCAAAUAUUUUCAGUGGCUGGACAGUCAGUAGUAUAGUAUGAUGGUUAAUAGCUGUUGGAAGUGAGGCACGAUGGCUCCAGCAGUAAUCCUAGCCUGUAAUCCCAGCACUUUGGGAGGCCGAGGCAGGAGGAUCUUGAGGCAGGGGGUUUUGAGACCAGCCUAGGCAACAGAGUGAGACCCCAUCUCCACAAAAAAAAUUAUAAAAGUUAGUUUUUUAUGUAUUAAAAAGAAUGGCUGUUGGAAUGGGCAGCUGUUUGAAUCAGAACUUACCCGCUCAAUGGCUAGAUAACCUUGGGCAAGCCACUUGUCUCAGCCUGUCUUUUCAUCUGUAAAAUGGGAUAAUAGUACUGCAGUUACUAGUUAUCCUGGGAAGAUAAAGCCCUUGCUGUAUGUCAAAUGUUGUGACUUUUUAAAGGUUUCAUAUGUUAAGGAAAAGCUGAUCCCAAGGCCUGGCACAGGGUAGGCUUCGAAUUUUCACCACUAAAAAUACAUAUUUCCUUAUUACAUAAGUCAUGUUUGUCAGCCACCUGAAAACCACCAUCAGCAACUCACUCCUCCCUGCGAACUUCUGGUAGAGGCCUGUCAUAUUCUACUUAAUCCUCAAGUUGGAAAGGAUAUUAAGCGUCAUCUAGUCCAGCUCCUUACCCAGUGCAGACCCUCUUCUAUAACUGCCUGUGUGCACACCUCUACCUGGCCAGGUGGCCUGUCUUUGGACAGCUCAAAUAUUAGUUCCUUCUUGAACCCAAACCCGCUUCCCUGUUGAUAACCUGGUUCUGCUCUGCAGAUCUUAGGGG